GAAAUGCGAUAAGUAAUGUGAAUUGCAGAAUUCAGUGAAUCAUCGAAUCUUUGAACGCACAUUGCGCCCGCCAGUAUUCUGGCGGGCAUGCCUGUCCGAGCGUCAUUUCAACCAUCAAGCCCCCGGGCUUGUGUUGGGGACCUGCGGCUGCCGGCAGGCCCUGAAAACCAGUGGCGGGCUCGCUGUCACACCGAGCGUAGUAGCAAUCACCUCGCUCAGGGCGUGCUGCGGGUUCCGGCCGUUAAACAGCCUUACAAAACCCAAGGUUGACCUCGGAUCAGGUAGGAAGACCCGCUGAACUUAAGC
rnacentral:misc_RNA from 1 species